CGCCUUGCUCAUUCGCCGAGGCGCGUCACGUGGUGCGUUUUCCUCCUCUUUGCUUCCAACCUCCCGCCGGGUCUACGGGGAAUGCAAUAGCUGGGACGCAUGUGCGCGUACGUUCGUGUGCCGCCCUUGGUUUUUUGUACGUGCAAUGUAUCUCAGAGAGCUGAGGAACUACGAACAACCAUGUCUGGAUGUUGUGCUGCAACGGGACAGAGUCAGGCAAAGCAUUUUUCUGCAUUCCGAGGGGCAAAAGUGACGAAACGCGUAGAUCGGCACAGAACCUGCCGGAAGAACUUCGCGCCUACGAAUAACACACGCUCGAGCGAGGUAAAUUUCGUGGCGUGUUUAUUUUUCAUUGCAGAACCUUUGCACACGGUAAUGAAUAACAGUUCAACUGUGCGAAGAACAGCCGGGCGUAUCAAAGUAGUGCUUGUUGGAUCUUCCCAUUGCGUUCCCUGUCCUGCGGUGCUAACAAAACGUCACUAUCAGGACCACUUCAGACACGACGACUUCGAGGACAAAGAGAUUCGAAAGAAGUUGAAGUGGACGGCAGUCCCAAGCAGUUUUGCAUACCGAGCACCUACGAGGCUGAGGAAGGCUCCUAUCCCCCGUUCUUCGCACGCAGAGUUCUCCGAGGAGUCACCAAAAGACUUGCACACUGGAGUUGAUGACAACAUAGUGUAAGAUCAAGGGGCAGUGGAGCAUGGUAAUGCGUCGAAAUAUAUGUAGAUAUGCACUAUGAGAACUAUUGAAACUUAUGAAAACUAUUCCUAAAUAUUGAGCUGUAAUUGUGAGUGAAUCAACUUUGCAGAGUAGAGGAAGACAACACCGUCACAAAUUUCUGUGACCAGAGCAUCGAGGAAUAUGCUCAGGAAAAACCUGCAGACAAGUCAUGUGAUGGUCCCCUCGACGAGGUCGCAGUUUUAAAAGAAACGAGCAAAGGCUGAGACGGAAUGUAGUGACUUGAAGCUCACGGUCUACUCCUCAUGGAAGAUCAACUGCUUGCGUUGGAGCAGGGGAUUGGAAGAACAAUCCACAGCACUUUACAUGCGCGUGAAAAAACGUUGGCAUGCACAUAGCCAUUGAACGUGUGAAACAAAUUUAAUUGCGAAGAGAUGAGAAUAAAACUCUUGGAGGUUAUUUAUGUCAACCUGAAGCUGCACACACGAGCACUAUAGUUUUAUGUCCACAAAACAAAAGAACUAAAAAAAACUGAUCUAUAGAGCGCAAACGAGACUCGACGAUGCCUUUUAGAGGCGAACACGCGCCACCAUAAUUCAUCUGUUAGCUACAGAAUACAACAAACGGUUCUGUAGUGACGCUUGUGCCCUGUUUCAUUAAGUAUUAGCAGAGUCCCACCACAGGAAGUCACAAAAUUUUUGGUGCACAGCCGCGAAAUCAACGCGAUGUAACACUGACUACAGCUAUCGCGAUCCGCGGCGGCUUGGAACCAAUAUGGCUGCCGGAGCAGACGACGCGGAGCGGUUGCGGUAGUCUGCUUCCGUCGUUGUACUAUGGUGUCAUUCAUCUAGCCACCAUAGUUGCACCGCUGCCGGCAGCUGGGACACAUUCUGUUGUCUGUAUGAUUUUUAAACAAAUCCACAUGAAUAGUUGGAAUAUAAGAGGCAAGAAUGUUUAUAUCCAUGAAAUCCAGCAAUUAAAUAUAAGAUUGUACAGCACAGCGCCGUUUUUGUUAUGGUUUCGUUAUGAUCGCCGUGUUCACUAGGCCUAACACCGGCGACAAAACGUAUUAUUUUCAGUUAGAUAUCGAUGGAUGAGCAUAAGUUGAAACUGAUUUCCGAGAAACUUAUAUUAGGAUGUACAUUUGCAGCGUAAAAUCGGGUUAGUCUGUGAAAAUUUUUUGUCACGAAGUCCCCGCUUCACUGUGUUUGUUUUCGUCGCCAUUUUGGGUGGCAGUAUGGUGUCAUGGCGACCCCUUUGGUAAAAAGCAAACCAAUCAGAGGAGUGAAACUGUGAUUGACAGGUCGAGCCUCUUUUUGUGACUCCUCCCAAUGACCAGACUCCCUUUUAAUAUAUGGCUCUGCACCUUCCAGACGAUGAGAGCCACCUGUUUCGCUUUCGUCGGACUAUCCCACUGAUCUCGAUUGUAAGAGGCUGGAUCGCGGAUGGGGAGCGCGAGCGUGCGGCUGGUGCGGCAACCGGCCGUCAUCUUACUGUACCCAAAACAGUCGCCGCAGCGAUCAUGGCAACUUCUUGCAACUACGGUCGUACCAACCGUACCGGCAAGGAUACAGGGCCGAAAUUUCUACAGCUGCCUCGACAUACGCAAGAAAUUGGUGCAAAACCUGAGCAGUGCCCACAAACUUCGAUCACCGCAGCACCUCCAAAAAGUAAAAGCAUAUGUGUCACAUGAUAUUUUUUAAGGUAUUCAUAGUAUAUAAUACCUUGUAUUAACUGUUGUAGAUCUAACCCACCUCUACAGUAUACACCCUCAGGAAUUAAAACUCGUUG